UGUAUCCUGAGUUUCUGUAGCAGCAUGUUCUCCUUCUACUAAGUAAAUUUAUAUAACUAUCAUGGCUGGCGUGAGACUCUUGAUAAAUGCAGAAUCAACAGGGAAACUCAGCAAGGCCCAGGGGUGAGAGGCGAGCCUUCAGCUGCUACAUCCAUCCACACGAUGAUAAGAACCUGUUUACCUGAGAUUCCUGGAAUGCCUCCCCAUGCUAAUGAGACAUCUCAGGACCUUGGCCUUCAGCCAAUGACUUUGCCCACCCUGGAUAUCCCAGCCUGAUCUUCCAAAACUAUAUAACCCUUGAUUCACCCUGAAUAAAGCUGAUCUGUCUCCCCAAA